AGGGAGUCUGGCUCUCGAGAUUCGGAGGGCGGUGCCUCUUCGAUUUUGGAGCAAGCAAUCUUGUUGGGAGUGUUUUCUCGAAUGUGAGUAAAGGUUGGGCAUGUUUGCUAGUCUACCUUGCCACGAAGCACAGAGGUUGACACACAGGGACUUUCCAAUUAUCCAGCAGUGGUACUGUUCCUUUACCCUCUCUUCGAUUUUUGAGAAAGUAAUCAUGUUGGGAGUCUGGCUCUCGAGAUUCGGAGGGCGGUGCCUCUUCGAUUUUGGAGCAAGCAAUCUUGUUGGGAGUGUUUUCUCGAAUGUGAGUAAAGGUUGGGCAUGUUUGCUAGUCUACCUUGCCACGAAGCACAGAGGUUGACACACCGGGACUUUCCAAUUAUCCAGCAGUGGUACUGUUCCUUUACCCUUGUGGGUAAUAAUAUGGUAGCUAGACCUUCAAAAUUUAUGUGUCUAAACUUUGUUAGUGUUGUUUCUUUGCUAUUCUUUUACCCUUCUUGGUCAGAGCGAUGUAGUGGGAGCUGCAAGCUUCACGUGUCUCAACUUUGUCAGAGAACUUUGGCAAAGUUAUCUGUGGUACCCAUGAGCUACUGUUGCGUGUGGGA
rnacentral:lncRNA from 1 species